rnacentral:tRNA from 1 species
GGGCGCUUAGCUCAGUUGGUUAGAGCGUCGCAUUUACACUGCGAAGGUCUGAGGUCCGAAUCCUCAAGCGCCCA